rnacentral:SRP_RNA from 2 species
GCCGGGCAUAGUGGCGCAUGCCUGUAAUCCCAGCUACUCAGGAGGCUGAGGCAGGAGAAUUGCUUGAACCCGGGAGGCAGAGGUUGCGGUGAGCCAAGAUCGCGCCACUGCACUCCAGCUUGGGUGACAGAACGAGACUCUGUCUCAU